rnacentral:rRNA from 1 species
GACGAACGCUGGCGGCGUGCUUAACACAUGCAAGUCGAGCGGAAAGGCCACUUCGGUGGUCCUCGAGCGGCGAACGGGUGAGUAACACGUGAGUAAUCUGCCCCUCACUUUGGGAUAGCCACCGGAAACGGUGAUUAAUACCGGAUAUGACCAUAUGUCGCAUGGCGUGUGGUGGAAAGUUUUUCGGUGAGGGAUGUGCUCGCGGCCUAUCAGCUUGAUUGUGAGGUAAUGGCUCACCAUGGCUUCGACGGGUAGCCGGCCUGAGAGGGUGACCGGUCACAAUGGGACUGAGACACGGCCCAGACUCCUACGGGAGGCAGCAGUGGGGAAUAUUGGACAAUGGGCGGAAGCCUGAUACAGCAACGCCGCGUGAGGGAUGACGGCCUUCGGGUUGUAAACCUCUUUCAGUACCGACGAAGCGCAAGUGACGGUAGGUACAGAAGAAGCACCGGCCAACUACGUG